rnacentral:rRNA from 1 species
GCGCAGGCGGUUUUGUAAGACUGUCGUGAAAUCCCCGGGCUCAACCUGGGAAUGGCGAUGGUGACUGCAAGGCUAGAGUUUGGCAGAGGGGGGUAGAAUUCCACGUGUAGCAGUGAAAUGCGUAGAUAUGUGGAGGAACACCGAUGGCGAAGGCAGCCCCCUGGGUCAAAACUGACGCUCAUGCACGAAAGCGUGGGGAGCAAACAGGAUUAGAUACCCUGGUAGUCCACGCCCUAAACGAUGUCUACUAGUUGUCGGGUCUUAAUUGACUUGGUAACGCAGCUAACGCGUGAAGUAGACCGCCUGGGGAGUACGGUCGCAAGAUUAAAACUCAAA